GUGCUCGAGUGGCGAACGGGUGAGUAACACGUGAGUAACCUGCCCUUGACUUUGGGAUAACUUCAGGAAACUGGGGCUAAUACCGGAUAGGAGCUCCUGCUGCAUGGUGGGGGUUGGAAAGUUUCGGCGGUUGGGGAUGGACUCGCGGCUUAUCAGCUUGUUGGUGGGGUAGUGGCUUACCAAGGCUUUGACGGGUAGCCGGCCUGAGAGGGUGACCGGCCACAUUGGGACUGAGAUACGGCCCAGACUCCUACGGGAGGCAGCAGUGGGGAAUAUUGCACAAUGGGCGGAAGCCUGAUGCAGCAACGCCGCGUGCGGGAUGACGGCCUUCGGGUUGUAAACCGCUUUCGCCUGUGACGAAGCGUGAGUGACGGUAAUGGGUAAAGAAGCACCGGCUAACUACGUGCCAGCAGCCGCGGUGAUACGUAGGGUGCGAGCGUUGUCCGGAUUUAUUGGGCGUAAAGGGCUCGUAGGUGGUUGAUCGCGUCGGAAGUGUAAUCUUGGGGCUUAACCCUGAGCGUGCUUUCGAUACGGGUUGACUUGAGGAAGGUAGGGGAGAAUGGAAUUCCUGGUGGAGCGGUGGAAUGCGCAGAUAUCAGGAGGAACACCAGUGGCGAAGGCGGUUCUCUGGGCCUUUCCUGACGCUGAGGAGCGAAAGCGUGGGGAGCGAACAGGCUUAGAUACCCUGGUAGUCCACGCUGUAAACGGUGGGUACUAGGUGUGGGGUCCAUUCCACGGGUUCCGUGCCGUAGCUAACGCUUUAAGUACCCCGCCUGGGGA
rnacentral:rRNA from 1 species